GCGAGAGUGGCGGAAUUGGCAGACGCACUAGACUUAGGAUCUAGCGGGCAAACCGUGGGGGUUCGAAUCCCCCCUCUCGCACCA
rnacentral:tRNA from 1 species